rnacentral:lncRNA from 1 species
AAGGAGCCAGAACAGCUUCCUAAGCUUUUCAUCUGAGGGCUGAGCUUCCAAACAACCCAUGAGAGUCUGAGGAGCCAUUUUCAGCAAUGGGGAACACUCACUGACUGUGUGGUAAAUGAGAGAUUCAAACACCAAGAAAUUUAGGGCUUUGGGUUUGUCCCAUAUGCCACUGUGGAGGAAUUGGACACUACUGUGAACGCAAAACCACACAAGGUGCAUGGAAGAGCUGUGGAACCUAAGAGCGCUGUGUCAAGAGAAGAUUCUCAGAGACCAGAGUUCCACUUAAGUGUGAAAAAGAUCUUUGUUGGUGGUAUUAAAGAAAACAAUGAAGAACAUCACUUAUGAGAUUAUUUUGAUCAGUAUCGGAAGAGUGAAGUGAUAGAAAUUAUGACUGACAGAGGCAGGGAAAAAAAGGACCUUUGCUUUUGUUACCUUUGAUGACCAUGAUUCUGUGGAUAAGAUUGCUAUUCAGAUAUACCAUACUGUGAAUGGCCACAACUGUGAAAUAAGAAAGGCUCUGUCUAAGCAAGAGAUGGCUAGUGCUUCAUCCAGCCAGAGAGGUCACAGUGGUUCAGGAAACUUUGGUGUGGCCGUGGAGGCGGUUUUGGUGGCAAUGACAAUUUUGGUUGAGGAGGGGACUCAGUGGUGGUGGUAGCUUUGGUGGCAGCCCUGGUGGUGGUGAAUAUGGUGGCAGUGGGAAUGGCUACAAUGGAUUUGGCAAUGACGGUUGUUAUGGGAGGCAGCCUUGGUUACUCUGGAGGAAGCAGAGGCUAUGAAAGUUGUGGACAGGGUUAUGGAAACAAGGGUGGUGGCUAUGGCUGGAGUGGCAGCUUUGACAGCUAUAAGAAAGGAGGAGGCAGAGGCAGAUUUGGUGGUGGUAGUGGAAGCAAAUUUGGAGGUGGUGGGAGCUACAAUGAUUUGGGCACUUAACAACAAUCAGUCUUCAAAUUUUGGACCCAUGAAGGGAGGAAACUGGAGGAAGGAGCUCUGGCUAUUAUGGUGGCUGAGGA